rfam:Dipodomys ordii contig_11151, whole genome shotgun sequence.
GGUGGCUUAGUGGUAGAGUGCUUGCCUAGCAUGCAUGAAGCCCUGGGUUCGAUUCCUCAGCACCA